rnacentral:rRNA from 1 species
AAGUCGAACGGUAAGGCCGAGUGUAGCAAUACACGAGGUACACGAGUGGCGCACGGGUGCGUAACGCGUACUGCAACCGUGCCCCGCACCGGGACGAAACAGCUGGAAACGGCUGCUAAUAUCCCAUGGCCGCACGGCAGGGGCAUCCCUGUGUGUGUAAAGAUUCAUUGGUGCGGGAUGGGCAUGCGUAUUAUUAGGUAGUUGGCGGGGUAACGGCCCACCAAGCCGACGAUGAUUAGGGGUCCUGAGAGGGUUAACCCCCACACUGGAACUGAGACACGGUCCAGACUCCUACGGGAGGCAGCAGUAGGGAAUAUUGGGCAAUGGGAGCAAUCCUGACCCAGCCAUGCCGCGUAGAAGGAAGACGGCCCUAUGGGUUGUAAACUUCUUUUGCCGCAGAGUAAACCCGGUCACGUGUGGCCGGUUGAGAGUAUGCGGCGAAUAAGUAUCGGCUAACUCCGUGCCAGCCGCUGC